rnacentral:lncRNA from 1 species
GAGAAGCUACAUGAUUUAACUUUGUAUAGGCUUGUACAUUUUUGUGUAUACUCAGUGUAUAUUUUCAGUAUAUCCAUGGUAUACCUUGUAAUUGAGUUGUAACUGGGCUGUGAUGAUUUUGUGUCUGAGCCCACAUGUCAUUAUUUAAUUUUGGGCCGGAUCACCCGACCCGACGCGUCCGUGUGUAACAUGUAUAUAUGUAGGUGAGAUAUUUUUCUCACCUACCGGAUUUCAUUUCUCUCAUUUGUUCUGUAAUAAUAUUUCUCUCUGAUUCCAGAGAGUUCCAAACGCUCUGUCUUCUCUCUACUUUCUCUCUCUACAGUUUUUAUGAUUUCUCGGUCUAAUAUCAAUGUUUACAUGGUAUCAGAGACGACGAUCCGAUUAUGUUUCUCUACAUCUCUUUGUCUUGGUUGAACUCUUUUUGAGAUUUUCUAGGGCUUUUCUGAGACCUUAUGGUCGAUGAUGGCUUUGACCUAGAUUGGAUGUUUUUCUGAGUUUUUCUUCAUGAUAUUUGAGUAUAUUCUCUUCACCCGAACAUUCUGAGAGUUUUUCUGCUGAUUUUGGGUGGUUUCUCGGUGACCUAUCGGCUUCUAGGGUUUGUUUUUCCGAGUUUUUCGUCAUGAUAUUUGAGUAUGUUCUCUUCACCCGAACAUUCUGAGAGCUUUUCUGCUGAUUUUGGGUGGUUUCUCGGUGACCUAUCUGCUUCUACGGUUUCUGGUGGUUUAACCUAGGGUUCUACUGCUUUCCGGUGGCUCGAUUCUCACUCAGUGGACGUUUUGGGUGCCUCUCCGACGUUCCUGACCACAUUUCCAGUAAGGAUUUCCAAGGUUACAGCUAGGGUUUUAUACCUAGGAUUUCUCUGUUGUUUGAAGGCCGAUCUUCUCCGGUCGCGAAGAAGGAGGAUAACUCUGUCCUUAUCUUCGGUAUUGUAUGUGAUUAUCUGACUCUGUAUAUGUGAGCAUCUGGCGUUGUCUGUGAAUACCUGAUUUGGUUAUACUCUGUUUGUUGGUUAUUGUGUGUGAAUACCUGUUUUGGUUAUACUGUGUUUGUUAAAAAGUUGUUCUUUUAAGUCGGUUCAUUGACUAUGGCUUCUAACGCAAAUACUGGUGCCUCCCCUUCUGUAGACUCUUCCAGUCCCCUUUUUGUAUAUUCUUCUGAUG